rnacentral:rRNA from 1 species
CCAGACUCCUACGGGAGGCAGCAGUGGGGGAUAUUGCACAAUGGGGGAAACCCUGAUGCAGCGACGCCGCGUGGGCGAAGAAGUAUUUCGGUAUGUAAAGCCCUAUCAGCAGGGAAGAAGAAAUGACGGUACCUGAGUAAGAAGCGCCGGCUAAAUACGUGCCAGCAGCCGCGGUAAUACGUAUGGUGCAAGCGUUAUCCGGAUUUACUGGGUGUAAAGGGAGCGCAGGCGGCCUUGCAAGUCUGAUGUGAAAGGCCGGGGCCCAACCCCGGGACUGCAUUGGAAACUGCGAGGCUGGAGUGUCGGAGAGGCAGGCGGAAUUCCUAGUGUAGCGGUGAAAUGCGUAGAUAUUAGGAGGAACACCAGUGGCGAAGGCGGCUUACUGGACGGCAACUGACGCUGAGGCUCGAAAGCGUGGGGAGCAAACAGGAUUAGAUACCCGCGUAGG